AGUGAACGCUGGCGGUAGACCUAACACAUGCAAGUCGAACGGCAGCACAGUAAGAGCUUGCUCUUACGGGUGGCGAGUGGCGGACGGGUGAGGAAUACAUCGGAAUCUACUUUUUCGUGGGGGAUAACGUAGGGAAACUUACGCUAAUACCGCAUACGACCUACGGGUGAAAGCAGGGGAUCUUCGGACCUUGCGCGAUUGAAUGAGCCGAUGUCGGAUUAGCUAGUUGGCGGGGUAAAGGCCCACCAAGGCGACGAUCCGUAGCUGGUCUGAGAGGAUGAUCAGCCACACUGGAACUGAGACACGGUCCAGACUCCUACGGGAGGCAGCAGUGGGGAAUAUUGGACAAUGGGGGCAAGCCUGAUCCAGCCAUACCGCGUGGGUGAAGAAGGCCUUCGGGUUGUAAAGCCCUUUUGUUGGGAAAGAAAAGCAGCAGGUUAAUACCCCGCUGUUCUGACGGUACCCAAAGAAUAAGCACCGGCUAACUUCGUG
rnacentral:rRNA from 1 species